AACCUCACAAACAGCGUCUCAGUUCAGAUUGCAGGCUGCAACCCGCCUGCAUGAAGUCGGAAUUGCUAGUAAUCGCGGAUCAGCAUGCCGCGGUGAAUACGUUCCCGGGCCUUGUACACACCGCCCGUCACACCAUGAGAGCCGGGGGGACCCGAAGUCCGUAGCUUAACCGUAAGGAGGGCGCGGCCGAAGGUAAAACUGGUGAUUGGGGUGAAGUCGUAACAAGGUACC
rnacentral:rRNA from 1 species